AUUGAACGCUGGCGGCAGGCCUAACACAUGCAAGUCGAGCGGGGGUAGCAAUACCCUAGCGGCGAACGGGUGAGGAAUGCUUGGGAAUCUGCCUGGUAGUGGGGGGAUAACGUUCCGAAAGGAACGCUAAUACCGCAUACGUCCUACGGGAGAAAGGGGGGGAUCUUCGGACCUCUCGCUAUCAGAUGAGCCCAAGCGGGAUUAGCUAGUUGGUGAGGUAAAGGCUCACCAAGGCGACGAUCCCUAGCUGGUCUGAGAGGAUGAUCAGCCACACUGGAACUGAGACACGGUCCAGACUCCUACGGGAGGCAGCAGUGGGGGAAUAUUGGACAAUGGGCGAAAGCCUGAUCCAGCCAUGCCGCGUGUGUGAAGAAGG
rnacentral:rRNA from 1 species